AGUGAACGCUGGCGGUAGGCCUAACACAUGCAAGUCGAACGGCAGCACAGGAGAGCUUGCUCUCUGGGUGGCGAGUGGCGGACGGGUGAGGAAUACAUCGGAAUCUACUCUGUCGUGGGGGAUAACGUAGGGAAACUUACGCUAAUACCGCAUACGACCUACGGGUGAAAGCAGGGGACCUUCGGGCCUUGCGCGAUUGAAUGAGCCGAUGUCGGAUUAGCUAGUUGGCGGGGUAAAGGCCCACCAAGGCGACGAUCCGUAGCUGGUCUGAGAGGAUGAGCAGCCACACUGGAACUGAGACACGGUCCAGACUCCUACGGGAGGCAGCAGUGGGGAAUAUUGGACAAUGGGCGCAAGCCUGAUCCAGCCAUACCGCGUGGGUGAAGAAGGCCUUCGGGUUGUAAAGCCCUUUUGUUGGGAAUGAAAUCCAGCUGGCUAAUACCCGGUUGGGAUGACGGUACCCAAAGAAUAAGCACCGGCUAACUUCGUGCCAGCAGCCGCAGUAA
rnacentral:rRNA from 1 species